CCCCAAGCGGCUCCUUCAACCCCUGAGAUCUUAAACAAAAUCUCUGGCUUUUCUUCUGACCUGGGAAGGAGGAACUCCGGCUGCGGUGGCCGUGUGCUGUGAACAGAAAGAACCCGUGCUGGUACACCAGGCAUGUGCUGCCACCCAGCGAGGCCAGCAGUCUACCAACUGAGCUAACUGCCAGCUGCCGCCCUUCCAAGCCCAAGCCCGGAAGAUGUGAGUAGCUCGGGGUGAGAUUUCUGACCCACAACACCUCCCAUCCCAGCACUGGAGACUGAAGCAUGGAUUCUGAGGCCAGCCUGGGCUACCAAAGAAGACUGUGUUUUAAAAAGAAAAAGAAAAAAAGAAAAUUAAAAUGGACGAACCCUCAAGUGCUUAGAGAGUGGCAGGGGGCCUACUGGGCUCUGCCCACUGCUACAAUGCUUCCUCUUUGAGGUCACUAGGCUACUACCCAGUCGUUGAAGAGGAGUAUAGCUCUGACACCAUGCCAGCGGUUUAAACUGGAUACAGGAGAACUCGCAUGUAAGAUCCACUUCCAGAAGGUCCCAAGAGCACAGAGAUGGGGUGGGAAGUGAAUGGGGACCUCGAACCCUUGUCCCCAUCCAGGGGUGGGAGGGGAUUAGUGUAGGACGGGAGCAGGGCAUCUUAGUGCAUUAUGGAAAGCUCUGAAGUGGGGGAGUCCAGUGACUGCUCUGCUGUCCACAGCCAUGGGCUAGGACAGAUAAGGUGGGGACAGGCCAGUGAGAGAAACAAGGGAGACCAGCACACAAGGGCCUCAUACCUGGUUCCUCCAGGCCUGGCAGUCCUGUGGUUGUAUCUGUGUGUGGCCAAGCCAGUGAGACUUAGGGAUAACCUGAGACCCUGGGCAUGGCUGGCAUUGUUUACAUGAAUGUGAAUUCUGGGGGUCGCCCUGUUUGUGCUCUGAGCUGAGUAAGGCUCUCAAUAUAAACGAGGGAGAGAGGGCCCAGCAAGAUGGCUCAGCAGGUAAAGGUGCUUGCAGCCAGGUCUUGAUGACCCAAGUUCAAUUCCCAUUUGAUGGAAAGAGAACUGACUCCACUCAAGUGAUCUCCACAUGUGUAUGGAUGCAUUCACAACAGAUAAAUAAUAGCUAAUAAUAGCUAAUAAAGUCUUGUUUUCUUUUUUCUUUCUUUCUUUCUUUCUUUCUUUCUUUCUUUCUUUCUUUCUUUCUUUCUUUCUAUCUCUCUCCCCUCUCUCUCUGUCUCUCUCUCUCUCUUUUUGGUUUUUCGAGACAGGGUUUCUCUGUGUAGCCCUGGCUGUCCUGGAACUCAUUCUGUAGACCAGGCUGGCCUUGAACUCAGAAAUCCGACUGCCUCUGACCCCCAAAUGCUGUGAUUAAAGGCGUGUGCCACCACUGCCCA
rnacentral:lncRNA from 1 species